rnacentral:rRNA from 1 species
AUUGAACGCUGGCGGCAGGCCUAACACAUGCAAGUCGAGCGGAAACGACAUCUUCGGAUGGGCGUCGAGCGGCGGACGGGUGAGUAAUGCCUAGGAAUCUGCCCUUUUGUGGAGGAUAACCCGGGGAAACUCGGGCUAAUACUGCAUAAUCUCUACGGAGCAAAGCGGGGGAUCUUUUGACCUCGCGCAGAAGGAUGGGCCUAGGUCUGAUUAGCUUGUUGGUGGGGUAACGGCCUACCAAGGCGACGAUCAGUAGCUGGUCUGAGAGGAUGAUCAGCCACACCGGGACUGAGACACGGCCCGG